AUUGAACGCUGGCGGCAGGCCUAACACAUGCAAGUCGAGCGUGAGGCGGGCGGGGGAGUAAAGUAUGGGGACUGCCCGACAGAGGGGGAGAACUACUGGAAACGGUAGCUAAUACCGCAUACCAUCGGUUAACCCAUAUGGGAUUAGCUAGGAGGUGAGGUAAUGGCUCCCCUGGGCGACGAUCCCUCGCUGGUCUGAGAGGAUGAUCAGCCACCCGGGGACUGAGACACGGCCCAGCCUCCUACGGCGGCAGCAGGGGGAAAUAUUCGAAAAUGUGCGAAAGCCUGAUGCAGCAAUGCCGCGUGUAUGAAGAAGGCUCUAGGGUUGAAAAGUACUUUCAGUCGGGAGGCGUUACCGACAGAAGAAGCACCGGCUAACUCCGUGCCAGCAGCCGCGGUAAUAC
rnacentral:rRNA from 1 species